GUCUUUAAGCUGUUUUUGGGGGAUGCUGUAGGACUGCUGGUCUCUAUUGAGACCACAGCUAUGUCCCUGCCUCACCACAGGUCUUGUUGACCCAGACCCUGACCUGUGGACAAGCCUCCUGACCUCGAACCUGCCUCAUCACUGGGAUCUCAGCCAUGAGCUGGAUUUUGGUCAAAGCUGGCCAUCAUCUUUGCACUCUUCUCACUCAGGUGUGAAAAUGAGGAACAGAAAUUGAACAUCAUCCAAGAGUGGCAUAACUGGAAAUCAAAAUCCACAUCUGCUUCGUCAUGGCCUCGGUGUAGGGAUUGCCUGGCCACACAUCCGAACAAUGCCUUCUGAGCCAGCCAUGAGAUUUUCCUGCAGGAAAUGAAGAACUGGAUGUGCAGACACAGCUGUCCCUCAAGCAAGAGGCCCUUUCUGUUUGCCCUCACUCAUUUGUCAUCCCAUGACCUGCACUGCAGGCAGAAGGAAGAAAACUCUUGGGCUGGUUCAAAGUUGGUGUUUCUAUCCAAAAUCCAGAAAUAGAUACUGUAAAUAACACUCGUGAUGCAGUCCUUUAGUGCUGCAGAGAAAGACUAUGCUGUAAUUACUUCCAGUGGGACAGAAAAUCUGUUAGUGCUUGUAUGCUGUAAGAGGGAAGGAGAACGUGUGUGCCCACCACCCCUUUGCCAGGUUGGGCUUUGCUCGAGGUGUUAUAGCUACUGCCCUACCCCAUGCUCCCAACCCUUGGUUCUGCACCCAUCUCGUGGAUUGCUGAAACAGGAGUGAAAAUGAGACCGCACAGAAGGAGCCCUUGAAUACGUGCCUAUCUCCGUAUCAGCACCCGCUUGGAGUAACACAAGAGGUACAAAGAAUGUCCUGCAGGCAGAGAGAGACUGCAGCUAUUUCACAUGGACAGGGGAGAUAAUCAGUGAAUUGAUGGUCCUUGUGGAAUGGACUUAGGCACUUACAGAAAUCUACACUUGGAUGAUUUUUUUGUUUAUUUUUGAAUAUUUCCUGACAGCUGGUGCUGGAAUUUUUGUUCUCUGUCGAGUAAACCCCUCUCAUUGCCCUUGUUAGAUACAAGCAGAUGAACCGUGCAGCUAGCAGGCAGCAUGCAGAGCAUUUGGGGGGGGGGGGGGGGAAACUGCCCCUUACUAGAUGUGCUGUUACAGGCCGGAGUUGUAAAAAUAAAUAAAAUAAAAAAAUAUAUUAAUAAUAGUAAAGUCUCAGAGAUUGAACAGGGGAGUGUAGUAAUGAUCUCUAGCUUGAGUCCCUCCUGCUGUGUCUGGCUGGCCCUCCAGAGCUCAAAUAGCAUCGUCCACCCUCACUUUAAAUGUCUGGAAUUACAUGCCACAGUGUCUGAACUUGUAAGAGCAAGGAGUUGCAGUGAGGUCUGAUCACACUGGUGUGAGUGCUUUCCUUAAUCAUGGAAAUGACCCCCCUUGAUCCCUCCCCAAGGUACUGUGCUGUGACCCCACAGCUCAGAGAAGCCAACCUGGAGCUGUCCUCCCAUAGGAACCUGAGGACACUCCAACAGCUUGGUCACAGACUUCCCCAGUUGGCUGAGAGUUGCUUGAGCUGAGAGGCAUAAAACAAAUCAGCAAACUGAAAUGAUGCAUCCAACCCCCCCGCUCCUAGCAGCUCUCCUUGCUGCCACACCAUGCUGUAAACUUCACUGUAAUUUGCUGUCCACUAACUGCACAAACCGUCCUUCGGUUAUUAACUUUCUCCCUUGCUGCACUUGUUU